rnacentral:lncRNA from 1 species
UAUGUUCAAAUUAUGUAAUAGAAUAAAAUUAAGUAAUGAUAGAAAAACUGAUUUAACCACAAGUUUCUGGUAUCCGAUGUAAAAGUUGCGCUAGACAGUUAGGCAAUACAGCUGUGGCCUACUAGAUCGACAUUCCAUCUGUCAUUCGUCGCACAUACCAUCCGUGUGUAGUUGAUACUAUCUGUUAGUAUCUCAAUGACAUUUGGCAAUACAAACGUAUGAACCUUGUUAGAGAAUAACCGUGUGUUUAAUAAAUUGAUUUUUGUUGUGACCGCUAUUAAGAGCGUGUACGCUCGGCGCGCGAUGUCAACUUUAGGUAAUUCAACGCAAAAAACCGCGCAGACUAGCGUCGCGGCUGUGUGCGUGCCUAUCAUACUUCACGUAUAGUCACACAAACCAUUUUGAUCCUUUCGAGUGAAAUUGGUAGAACAAAAAAUAUAUUAUUUAGUAAAUCGUUAAUAGCGGGAAAAUAGUGUAGGUCUAUGGAUGUCUAGAAUAUAAAAGCAUGAAAAUAAGUCGUUAAUACUUACACUCUUUUGCAAAAAAAUCGGGCACCUAUGAAAACCUUGGUUUUGAGGACUUUCUGUAUAUUACAUACAAUUUUCAACAGUACUAAAUAGUCGACUGAUGAUUAAUGACAAUGUUAAGAGUUUCUGUAUUUUAACCGAUUUCAAAAAUUCAAAGGAGGAGGUUUCAAUUAUAUUGUUUUGUGAUUGUUCUCAAUUUGAUUGUUCUCGAUUUCUCAAAGACGCCUGGACCGAUUUGAAAAA